rnacentral:rRNA from 1 species
UAGUUUGAUGGCGACCGGCAAACGGGUGCGGAACACGUACACAACCUUCCUUUAAGUGGGGAAUAGCCCAGAGAAAUUUGGAUUAAUACCCCGUAACACAACGAAGUGGCAUCACUUUGUUGUUAUAGUUUCGGCGCUUAAUGAUGGGUGUGCGUAUGAUUAGAUAGUUGGCGAGGUAACGGCUCACCAAGUCUACGAUCAUUAGCUGAUGUGAGAGCAUGAUCAGCCACACGGGCACUGAGACACGGGCCCGACUCCUACGGGAGGCAGCAGUAAGGAAUAUUGGUCAAUGGACGCAAGUCUGAACCAGCCAUGCCGCGUGAAGGAUUAAGGUCCUCUGGAUUGUAAACUUCUUUUAUAUGGGACGAAAAAAGGUCUUUCUAGACCCCUUGACGGUACCAUAUGAAUAAGCACCGGCUAACUCCGUGCCAGCAGCCGCGGUAAUACGGAGGGUGCAAGCGUUAUCCGGAUUCACUGGGUUUAAAGGGUGCGUAGGCGGGUAGGUAAGUCAGUGGUG